rnacentral:tRNA from 1 species
GGGAGUAUAGUAUAACCUGGUAGUAUAGCUGGCUCCAGACCAGCCGGUCGGGGUUCAAAUCCCUGUGCUCCCACCA